AUCAGGAUGGUGCAGAGGUAAGAACAUUGGAUUUGGAAUCUGCAUUCCUGAGUUUGAAUUCCAGUUCUGUUA
rnacentral:tRNA from 1 species